AUUGAACGCUGGCGGCAUGCCUAACACAUGCAAGUCGAGCGAGCGGCGGACGGGUGAGUAAUGUCUGGGAAUUGCCCAGUCGAGGGGGAUAACCGUUGAAAACGACUGCUAAUACCGCAUACGAUUGGAUUGCCCAGGUGUGAGUUGCUAGUUGGGGAGGUAAGGGCUCACAAAGGCAACGCGCCCUAGCUGGUCUGAGAGGAUGAUCAGCCACACUGGAACUGAGACACGGUCCAGACUCCUACGUGAGGCAGCAGUGGGGAAUAUUGCACAAUGGGGGAAACCCUGAUGCAGCCAUGCCGCGUGUGUGAAGAAGGCCUUCGGGUUGUAAAGCACUUUCAGCGAGGAGGCGUUACUCGCAGAAGAAGCACCGGCUAACUCCGUGCCAGCAGCCGCGGUAAUUC
rnacentral:rRNA from 1 species